CUUCAACCUUUUCUCUCCACUCACCCCCUCCCUCCCUCCCUCCCUCCCUCCCAAUUCCACACUUCACCACGCCAUGAAUUCCUUCUCUACUCCACACUACCUCUAAUACAAAACCCCAAUUGAAAAUUCCCCAAAAACUCAAAUCACAUCUGCAAAUUUCUGAAAUUUGUUGUAAAGCUCCGAGCUUUGAGAAUGGUUUCUCUUGAAGAUUCCCAUUCCGGCUCCAACCACCACUUCCCGCCGCACACGCGCAACUUCUAUUCUCCCUCCUCCACCAAAAUCCACCGCCAAACUGGCCGCUCCAUGCGCACCAUCCGCUCCAGCAUCUACCAAGACGACCACUCCCGAACCUCCUUCGCCGCCGAAAGAUCGCCUUUUGUCUCCGAGAACCUAACUGAUUCUGUCGUCGACAUGCGCCUCGGCGAGCUCGCCUUACGCACCCACAGCUCCGCCGCCAAGUCCGCCUCCUCCGACGAGGAGUACCUCCAGCUCUCCCAAGCCUUCAGCGAUUUCUCUGCCUGCAGCAGUGACAUCUCGGGAGAAUUGCAACGACUCGCGAGCUUGCCGUCGCCGGAAAACGGGCCGACCUCCGAAUCAGCCGAGGCUGCGCCGGAACCGGAGCCAUGUCAGGGGUUUUUGCAGAGGGAGAACUUCUCGACCGAAAUCAUCGAAAGCAUUUCGCCGGAGGAUCUUCAGCCGACGGUCAAGAUCUGCGUCGACGGCCUCCAAUCGCCGUCGCUUGCCGUGAAGCAAUCUGCUGCUGCCAAGCUCAGGCUUUUAGCGAAGAACCGGGCCGACAAUCGCGCCUUGAUUGGCGAGUCUGGCGCCGUCCCUGCUCUAAUUCCUCUGCUGCGGUGCAGCGAUCCGUGGACGCAGGAGCACGCCGUCACGGCGCUGUUUAACCUCUCACUGCACGAAUCGAACAAGGCAAUAAUCACCAAUGCCGGAGCUAUAAAGUCGUUAGUGUACGUCCUCAAGACCGGGACGGAGACCUCGAAGCAAAACGCCGCCUGUGCGCUGCUGAGCUUGGCGCUAAUUGAAGAGAACAAGGGCUCAAUCGGAGCAUGCGGCGCGAUUCCGCCCCUGGUUUCCCUGUUAAUAAGUGGAUCCAUGAGGGGCAAAAAGGACGCCUUGACGACUCUGUACAAGCUCUGCUCGAUAAAGCCCAACAAAGAGAGGGCGGUGAGCGCUGGAGCUGUGAAGCCGCUAGUGGCGCUGGUGGCGGAGCAGGGGACGGGCCUGGCGGAGAAGGCGAUGGUGGUGCUAAGUAGCUUGGCAGGAGUUGAGGAGGGAAAGGAGGCUAUUGUGGAGGAAGGUGGGCUGGCAGCGCUUGUGGAGGCGAUUGAGGAUGGGUCGGUGAAAGGAAAGGAGUUUGCGGUGUUGACACUGUUGCAGCUGUGCACUGAGAGUGUGAGGAACAGAGGGUUGCUUGUGAGGGAAGGAGGGAUUCCGCCGUUGGUUGCGCUUUCGCAGACUGGGAGUGUUAAAGCUAAGCACAAGGCUGAAACGCUUCUUGGGUACUUGAGAGAACCGAGACAAGAAGCGUCCUCUUCGGCUCUUUAGAGGAGCCAAGGGAGAAAUAGAAAGGGAUGAGAAGGGAAUGGGAUAGGGAUGGCAAACAAUUCAGGUUCUAUCUCGGCUACCAAACAGCAAACGAUACAACGGCCGUUUGGGAGCAGUAUUUUAUUGGGAAAUGCAAUGUAUUAAAGUAGCAGUGGGAGAAUAAGAGCGUUGGAUGUGUGGACAUACGAAAAAGAUAGAUUAAGAUAGAAGAUAUCCGAAGUAAAGUAAGAGUGAUCACAAUGAAGAUAAGAUGAGAGAAACUCGAUUAAAGUGGUUUGGAUACAACUCAAGAUCUACAGAUGCUCCGGUUAGAAAAUUCGACUAUAGGACUGAGGGUUAGGGUAAAAAUGGUAGAUGAAGACCUAUGAAUACUUAGAAAGAUACUUUAAGAAAAGAUAUAAAGUACUUGAGCUAAUGAAAGACUUGACACAAAAUCGAGCACAAUAGCGUUUUAUGAUUCAUACAGCGAAAUUCACUUAAUGGGAUAAAGUUUGAUUGUGUAAGAGCAUAGGGUAUAAUGAAGGGAGAGGAUGUGAAUGCUUCUAUAGAAAGUCCUUGUGCUCAUAAUUGCGAUUAAAGACGUUGAAAUUUUAAUAAAUACUUGGAAGGAUAUAUGGAAAAGCAUAUAUUGGUAUUUUAGAAAGCAGUUACAGGUGCUUUUUCAAUCUAUAAAUACUAACAAAUGGAAACUAUAGGAAACUAAAACAUGAUGGGCCAUAUUAUUAAGGAGAUAACGUGACAUAUACGUAUCAAUUAUCACACAAUGCGCCAUCAAAGUGUAAGGAUCUGAAAUAUGGUCAUUCCAAAGUAAUUCCUCAGCAAAUGUCUUAAACUUAACACGAUCUAGACAUAUUAUUCCUCAAGUUUAGCUUUGCCUUGGUGUCCUUGGGAGCAAAUAGCUUGGGUCUGAAGCCUUUCUGCAGCAACUUCUCAACCUCUUCAAACCGCAUUCCUUUGGUUUCAGGGACUAGGAAGUAAAUAAAUAUGAGUCCAAUGAGAGAAAACCCGGCAAAGAGGAGAAAUGUUCCAGCCGAACCCAGCGCUUUUGUGAAUGUCAAGUAUGCUUCAGUAACUAUGAGAUUGGCUAGUUUGAAACUGGAGCGACUCCUCCGCCAGUCCCUCUGUAUCUCAGCGGGUAUAUCUUCAAGCUCAUGAUCCAUGGUACGGUUCCCAUUCAGGGCGCAUACAUUGUAAUGUACAAUCCCCAUAGUAUCACUGCAAAUAUUCCAAUUUUACUAGGGCAACCUUUGCUGUACCAUGUCCUGUGUUCUCCACGACAUGUUCUGUUUAACAUAAGCAACAUCAAUACCAAGUUAUAUGCGACACUUUCCGUC